rnacentral:sRNA from 1 species
GCUGGGCAUAGGUGACGUGUGCUUGUAGUCCAGCUACUUGGGGGGCUGAGGUGGGAGAAUUGCUUGAGCCCAGGAGGUUGAGGCUGCAGUGAGCUAUGAUUAUACCACUGCACUCUAGCCUGGGCUAGAGAGUGAGAACCUUUCUCUA